UGGGGAAUCUUCCGCAAUGGACGAAAGUCUGACGGAGCAACGCCGCGUGAGUGAAGAAGGUUUUCGGAUCGUAAAACUCUGUCUUUUGGGGCGAACGUGAGUAUGGUGAACAAUCAUAGUCAGUGACGGUACCAAAGGAGGAAGCCACGGCUAACUACGUGCCAGCAGCCGCGGUAAUACGUAGGUGGCAAGCGUUGUCCGGAAUUAUUGGGCGUAAAGAGCGCGUAGGCGGGAUAGUCAGUCUGUUGUAAAAGUGCGGGGCUCAACCCCGUGAUGGCAAUGGAAACAGCUAUUCUUGAGUGCAGGAGAGGAAAGUGGAAUUCCCAGUGUAGCGGUGAAAUGCGUAGAUAUUGGGAGGAACACCAGUGGCGAAGGCGACUUUCUGGACUGUGUCUGACGCUGAGGCGCGAAAGCCAGGGGAGCGAACGGGAUUAGAUACCCCGGUAGUCCUGGCCGUAAAACGAUGGGUACUAGGUGUGGGGGGUAUCGACCCCUUCCGUGCCGGAGUUAACGCAAUAAGUACCCCGCCUGGGGAGUACGGUCGCAAGACUGAAACUCAAAGGAAUUGACGGGGUCAUAGCUGUUUCCUG
rnacentral:rRNA from 1 species